UCGAACGAGAAAGUGGAGCAAUCCAUGAGUAAAGUGGCGCACGGGUGAGUAACACGUGACUAACCUACCCUUGAGUGGGGAAUAACUUCGGGAAACCGAGGCUAAUACCGCAUAACACCUACGGGUCAAAGGAGCAAUUCGCUUAAGGAGGGGGUCGCGGCAGAUUAGUUAGUUGGCGGGGUAAUGGCCCACCAAGACGGUGAUCUGUAUCCGGCCUGAGAGGGCGCACGGACACACUGGAACUGAAACACGGUCCAGACUCCUACGGGAGGCAGCAGUGGGGAAUUUUGCGCAAUGGGGGAAACCCUGACGCAGCAACGCCGCGUGGAGGAUGAAGUCCCUUGGGACGUAAACUCCUUUCGAUCGGGACGAUUAUGACGGUACCGGAAGAAGAAGCCCCGGCUAACUUCGUGCCAGCAGCCGCGGUAAUACGAGGGGGGCGAGCGUUGUUCGGAAUUAUUGGGCGUAAAGGGCGCGUAGGCGGUUGGAUAAGUCUUGUGUGAAAUCUUCGGGCUCAACUCGAAGUCUGCACGAGAAACUAUCUGGCUUGAGUGUGGGAGAGGUGAGUGGAAUUCCUGGUGUAGCGGUGAAAUGCGUAGAUAUCAGGAGGAACACCUGUGGCGAAAGCGGCUCACUGGACCACAACUGACGCUGAGGCGCGAAAGCUAGGGGAGCAAACAGGAUUAGAUACCCUGGUAGUCCUAGCCCUAAACGAUGAUCGCUUUGGUGUGACGGGUACCCAAUCCCGCCGUGCCGAAGCUAACGCGUUAAGCG
rnacentral:rRNA from 1 species